rnacentral:snoRNA from 1 species
UUCCAUGGUGUGGGCAUUCUAGGAUGUAGUCCUAGAAAUGUUUCUAUGCAUCUACAAUGGUUUUUUCUUUCUACUGCUGAAAGUUGUAGAUUUUUUCUCUUAAGGCA